UGAGUAACGCGUAGGAAUGUGUCCGGAGGUGGGGGACAACCCUGGGAAACUGGGGCUAAUACCGCAUAUGGCCUGAGGGUCAAAGCCGCGAGGCGCCUUUGGAGCAGCCUGCGUCCGAUUAGCUAGUUGGUGGGGUAAGAGCCUACCAAGGCGACGAUCGGUAGCUGGUCUGAGAGGACGAUCAGCCACACUGGGACUGAGACACGGCCCAGACUCCUACGGGAGGCAGCAGUGGGGAAUAUUGGACAAUGGGCGCAAGCCUGAUCCAGCAAUUCCGCGUGGGUGAAGAAGGUCUUCGGAUUGUAAAGCCCUUUCGGCAGGGACGAUGAUGACGGUACCUGCAGAAGAAGCCCCGGCUAACUUCGUGCCAGCAGCCGCGG
rnacentral:rRNA from 1 species